rnacentral:misc_RNA from 1 species
AUAGUUUAAUAAUAACUAAUUGGAAAUUAAAUGUCUGAAGUACUAAAUAGCUGGAACAAAGCAUCAAUAAAAUGAUCAGAGUGGCUGUAUAACUAAUCCAUUGUACUAAAUGUGAACUCAUGCCAUCAUUUGAGUGUCGUGUGUGUGGAGUGCGUUCAUUCGUGUGUCAUUAAGGUGAAUUUAUACUUUUGCACAUUGUAUGUGCACUGCGCAUGAUUUAGUCACAGCGAUUAGGGAAAAAAUUACAACUGCAGAAAUAUACGAAAUUUAGAGUUGAAUUCAUUCGACUAGGUUUGAAAAUGUCAGCGAAAUUUCAAAUUCUGGUAAUUUCAAAUGUGUUGGGAAUUGAAAAUUUUUGCAGCUACCCAAUUAGUAGAAAUAUCAAAUUUUGGAGAUCUCAAGAACAUCAUCUUGAAUAUUCCAAAAUUCGAGAAUACCAGAUGUUAAGAAUUUUUAAUUUUGGGAACUUCAAGUCUUGGAAAUUUCCAAUUUUUGAAAUUCCAAUAUUUGGAAAUCCAAAUUUUGGAAAUUCCAAGUUCCGGAAGUUUCAAAUUUUAAGAAUUCUAGACGUUGGCAAUUUUUAAAUUUGAAAACUUCAGGUCUUGGAAAUUUCCAAUUUUUGAAAUUCCAAUAUUUGGAAAUCCAAAUUUUGGAAAUCCCAAGUUCCGGAAGUUUCAAAUUUUGAGAAUUCUAGACGUUGGCAAUCUUUAAAUUUGAAAACUUUAGGUCUUGGAAAUUUCCAAUUUUUGAAAUUCCAAUAUUUGGAAAUCUCAAGUUUCGGAAGUUUCAAAUUUUAAGAAUUCUAGACGUUGGCAAUUUUUAAAUUUGAAAACUUCAA